GCGAGGGUUGCCCGGUGGUUUCCGUCCCGGCCCGCCAAGCCUGCGGCGCCCAGGUUUGCGCCUGUCGGUAGCUAGAGGGGGCGGUCCCCGCGCGCCCCUCCGCCCAGCGCGUUUCCCGCCGCCCUCCCGCUAGGGGCGCGACGCCCUCCGCCUCCAUCUCCGCCCCCAGGAUCUGCGGCUGCCAGCUUCCGAGCGCGGCUUCCCCGGACGGCGGCGCGAUGGGCUGCGGGAACUCCACCGCCACCAGCGCGGGCGCGGGCCAAGGCCCUGCAGGAGCAGCUAAAGAUGUAACAGAAGAAUCAAUAACAGAAGAUGACAAGAGGAGAAACUAUGGAGGGGUGUAUGUUGGUCUACCAUCUGAAGCUGUCAAUAUGGUGUCCAAUCAAACAAAGACUGUGCGAAAAAAUUAGAAGAAAGUAAUAUCAUGACAAUAAUCAAGAGCCUCCUCAUCAAGAUCUGGAUGGAAUUUUUGCUUCGUGGGAUUUUGUAACGUGCACAGACAUUUCCAAGGAAAUUCUAAGCAUUCGCCGCCCCCCCCCCAGCCCCAAAUUCUUAGUUUAUAGUUAAAACCAUGGGUACAUAUUGAAUGUUGUGGUACUAGAAAGGAAUUGGUUAAACAACACACGUAUAUGGAACUAUAUUUGGUCCACCUGCGGGGAAGGCAAGCUUACAAAGGGUUCUUGCCCAGCUGGCUGCUGUGCCCCAGCUGCGUUCUCACCCUGGCCAUCCCCACAGCUCAUGAAGAUCAUGUCUUUUCACUGAUACUUUUUUGAUAGUUUUUAUAUAGCAAAAUCCUUCAUCUAUUUAUAACUUACAAUAAUAAGGCACUAUCGAUGAAUUACCCAAAGUAAUAUAUUUGUCUGUUAUCUUUCACUAUUUCUACUUCAUGUUAAUGUUUAGCUGUAAAAUUGUUAAAUUGAUUCUUACUGUUAUCUCUUUCCUUUUUUACUAUUUGGUUUUCAGCUUUAUUUAAAUAUCAGAGGAGUUUCUUUAUUGGGAGCAAUGUACUACAUGGCAAUACUUAAACUGUUGAGAUUUGCAUGCCGUAUGUACAUUUUGAUUAAUUUCCUAUUUUCUUUAGUCAAAGGCUUAUGUAACCACAAAUACUUAAUAGCCAUUGAUUCUCCCAUUCUACCUGUGUGUGAUCAGAACAUCUCAUCAUGUUAAUUCUACACUGUUUUCAAGGACUUGUCACUGAUGGUUAGUCGGAUAUUUGGAAAGUUCUUAAUUUGAUAGUGAUCAUGUGUAUCCACUUAGUACUGAAAUGUAAAUCACUCAAUUUACCAGUGUAUUUCAACAAUUAAAAC